UGCUCCGGCUCUGCCUCCGCCGCCGCUCCCCGCGCCCCGCCGCGCGGCCCCGCUCGGCGCCGCCGCUCCUGCCGCUCCGCCGCCGCCGAGCCAACUGCCCGGGCCGCGGGCCUGACGUCAGGUGCGGGCAGAUACUGAGCCGUUCCCACAGCUCAGGCACGUGUUCUAGGCUCGUAGCAGUGACCGGCAAUAAACAGGAUUCUAACAUUGCUAAACUGAGGCCAGUUGCAGUGUUGUGGUACGGUGAGUCAAGCCACCACCUCCAAUGCUGGCAUCCCAUCUCCUAGUGCUGUUUCAAGUUCUGCCUACCCUGCUUCCCAUCCAGCUUCCAGCUAACGUGCCUGGGAAAGUACCAGAAGAUGGCCUAAUUACUUGGGCCCCUGCCAUGUACAUGGGAGAGCCUGAUGGAGCUCCAGACUCCUGGCUUCAGCCUGGCCCAGGCCUGACUGUUGUGGUCAUUUGGGGGGUGAGACAAUGGAUGGAAGAUCUCUCUCUGUCUCUCCCUCUCUCUGUAACUCUGCCUUUCAAAUAAAUAAUAAAAUCUUUAAGACAGAAUUGCUAAAUUACAUAUAUUUGGCACAACAAGCUUGUAUAAUACAGAAUGUAUCAAAUAGAAAAUGUGCAUCUCCA